UGUGGUUGUUCAGUUAAAAUUGCAGUACUGAGCAGUGUACUGUUGACCAUGACACCACACAUAGUGAUACUGGUGCUCACCGACAGGACCUAGCAAGUUAUUGGGUUCCCUGUGCGAUGGUUCCAUACACAUUCUAUGGCUUGGUUGGUAGAGCAUGGUUCGCUGUCUCUCUGGCCUGGUUUGUGAGUGCUGUUCUGGGGUUAUUCUUUAGCUGGUUCAGGCUGUGUACCAGGCCUGUCUGUUGAUCCAGAGCAGGGCUGUUGUGGUGUUUGCGAGGCUGUGUAACAGGCUUGUUUGGGAGGAAUGCGGGGGCAGUAGGGGCAUCUGGGACAGAUUUGUGAGCGUAGUGCGGACGGACCUACGACACACCCAAUAAAAGUCAUCCUACAGCAUCGGCUGUGUGAGUUGAACGCAUUUAAUUUGGACAGGGAUGUGACGCAUGUCCCAACACACACGACCGUCCACAGUGAACUGAGAAGUCAGAUUAGAGAAUGUUAUUUACAUCUAGGCCAAGUGCAACUGAUAAUUGAAGUGAUCAAUGACCGCUGACAUCGCCGCUGGAAUAUUGAGGUCACUGUAAGCCCCCAGCCCCCAUGGGAAGGUGUUUCGUCGAUAUGAAGCAGGGAGGACAGGGGAAGAGUGAGGAGAGCGAGAGAGGGGGAGGAUCGAGGGUGAAGACGGCGAAGACAGAGAGCGAGCGAGGGAGGAAAGGAGAAAGGGGAACAUGGUGAAACAGCUGAGUCCAGUGUUCUACUCUCUUUAUUCCUGAUGACUCCCAGAUGUUUCAUGAAACUCCACUGAUACUCUGUCUUGCUCUCUGGCCCUGGAUGGGCUUGCAGUACCACUCUCAGGACAUGUCCUCUUAUUUAAUCAGAUAUUCCCUCUUCCCCUCUUUCUCCUUCCCUCUUUCAUCCUCUCAAUAAUAUCCCUUGGAUGACAGGCAUGCUUUGAAAUUUUUGUGGACUUUUAUACAUUCUUAAAGCAGAGUCUUCGCUUGAACAGAAUAGAUGGAUGCCAUGGACAGUGUGUUAGUUUUUUUGUCACAUCGUUGAAGCUGACCCCAGUACCGGAUCAUGCUCUACUGGGAGUGUGUAGUGACUGGGCUGUGAUGAGUCUGCUUUGUGUGUCAUACGGUUCUCUACUAUUGUGUGUAUGAUGGGGCUUAGUUAAGCAUACUGUAUUUUUCCCCUGGAGGAACAACAGGAGGAGAAGAGGAGGUUCUGGAACAUAUUUUGGCCCCAUCACAGCUCUCAUCAGGGGCCGAUUCCAUGUAAAUGAAAACAGCUUGUCUGAAGUCUCCUGGGGUUUGAGUACAAUUCCCAAAACGCAUGUACCCACACACACGCACAGACACACACAGACGUCACAUUCUGAGGUAGCUUGUUAAUAUUGAAGAACACAGUCGAAGUGCUCUGCCUUUGUUUUUUUUUGUCAACCACCUUAAAAAAACAAAACUUCUUUCCACUAUUUCUAGUUGUAGUUGUUUUUUUGGGAGCCGUAUCACUAGGUACCGACUGGUUAACAUUUUCUCAUAAACCCGCUCUGUUGAGGAAUGUUUAUUUCUCUGUUUCCACUGUAUUGUCCAGGAGCCAUUUCACAGAGCAGAAAGAGUGUUUGUCAGUACUGAGGGAGGGAGUGGGACUAUAAUUGUUUUCAUUUUGGUAGAGGUCCGGCUCUCUAAUGCUUCAGACAAUAAAAGCUCUUCUUUCCUCUCUUUAUAA